rnacentral:tRNA from 1 species
GCGGGGGUUGCCAAGCCAGGUCAAAGGCGCAGGUGCCCUACUCCUGUCCCGUAGGGGUUCGUGGGUUCAAAUCCCACCCCCCGCACCA